CUAAUGGGGAUGUGGAUGCUU
rnacentral:siRNA from 1 species